rnacentral:rRNA from 1 species
GACAGAGGUCCCGAGCGUUAGGCGGAAUCACUGGGCUUAAAGCGUGUGUAGGCGGAUGCCUAAGUACCUUGUGAAAUCCCACGGCUUAACCGUGGAACUGCUUGGUAUACUGGCGGUCUUGAGCCACUUAGGGGCUACCGGAACAAAUGGUGGAGCGGUGAAAUGCGUAGAUAUCAUUUGGAACGCCAAUGGUGAAAACAGGUAGCUGGGAGUGUGCUGACGCUGAGACACGAAAGCCAGGGGAGCAAACGGG